ACAGUACAAACUGAGCAGGCGAUAGACCCUUUACCGGGUUUGUGGGGCCGGGCCGCUUUUGCGGCAGCAGAUGACGUCUUCGACAUCUGUGGGACAGU
rnacentral:ncRNA from 1 species